rnacentral:rRNA from 2 species
GUGGACGCAUCACUGGUGUUCGGGUUGUCAUGCCAAUGGCACUGCCCGGUAGCUAAAUGCGGAAGAGAUAAGUGCUGAAAGCAUCUAAGCACGAAACUUGCCCCGAGAUGAGUUCUCCCUGAGACUUUAGGUCUCCUGAAGGAACGUUGAAGACGACGACGUUGAUAGGCCGGGUGUGUAAGCGCAGCGAUGCGUUGAGCUAACCGGUACUAAUGAACCGUGAGGCUUAACCUUACAACGCCGAAGCUGUU